rnacentral:rRNA from 1 species
GUCUACGGCCAUACCACCCUGAACGCGCCCAAUCUCGUCUGAUCUCGGAAGCUAAGCAGGGUCGGGCCUGGUUAGUACUUGGAUGGGAGACUGUAUGCAGGCAAUGUUCCUA